AUCGUAAUGGAUGCUGCUUGAUUUUGACUGCUUGACGCUAGAUGGCGUUUGGUACAACCAAAGACAAUAAUAGUCGUUAUUAAUUCUGACCUCACCUUUUCCAUCGAAAAAAAUUAGGGCUUGAAGUAAUUUUUCGAAAUAUUUCGAAUUUUCUGAUUGGUUGAAAGUCAAAAAGUCGAAAAAGUAUUUAUUUUAGAACAUACAGAUGUGUUCA
rnacentral:lncRNA from 1 species